rnacentral:rRNA from 1 species
CUACGGGCCGCUGCAGUGAGGAAUUUUGCGCAAUGGGCGAAAGCCUGACGCAGCAACGCCGCGUGAGUGAUGAAGGCCUUCGGGUCGUAAAGCUCUGUCAAGUGGGAAGAACCUAUGUAAUGUUAAUAUCAUUAUAUACUGACGGUACCACUGAAGGAAGCACCGGCUAACUCCGUGCCAGCAGCCGCGGUAACACGGGGGGUGCAAGCGUUAUUCGGAAUCAUUGGGCGUAAAGGGCACGUAGGCGGCCUGGUAAGUCAGAUGUGAAAGCCCGGGGCUUAACCCGGGAAGUGCAUUUGAUACUGUCAGGCUUGAGUAUGGGAGAGGGAAGUGGAAUUCCUGGUGUAGAGGUGAAAUUCGUAGAUAUCAGGAGGAACACCGGUGGCGAAGGCGACUUCCUGGACCAAUACUGACGCUGAGGUGCGAAGGCGUGGGUAGCAAACAGGAUUAGAUACCCGAGUAGUC